CAAUAGCGUAUAUUAAAGUUGUUGCGGUUAAAAAGCUCGUAGUUGGAUUUCUGCCGAGGACGACCGGUCCGCCCUCCGGGUGAGUAUCUGGCUCGGCCUGGGCAUCUUCUUGGAGAACGUAACUGCACUUGGCUGUGUGGUGCGGUAUUCAGGACUUUUACUUUGAGGAAAUUAGAGUGUUUCAAGCAGGCACACGCCUUGAAUACAUUAGCAUGGAAUAAUAAGAUAGGACCUCGGUUCUAUUUUGUUGGUUUCUAGAUCUGAGGUAAUGAUUAAUAGGGAUAGUUGGGGGCAUUCGUAUUUAACUGUCAGAGAUGAAAUUCUUGGAUUUGUUAAAGACGGACUACUGCGAAAGCAUUUGCCAAGGAUGUUUCCAUUG
rnacentral:rRNA from 1 species